rnacentral:rRNA from 1 species
CCUAGGGGGGCAGCAGUGGGGAAUAUUGGGCAAUGGGCGCAAGCCUGACCCAGCAACGCCGCGUGAAGGAAGAAGGCUUUCGGGUUGUAAACUUCUUUUCUCAGGGACGAAGAAAGUGACGGUACCUGAGGAAUAAGCCACGGCUAACUACGUGCCAGCAGCCGCGGUAAUACGUAGGUGGCAAGCGUUGUCCGGAUUUACUGGGUGUAAAGGGCGUGUAGCCGGGCUGACAAGUCAGAUGUGAAAUCCGGGGGCUCAACCCCCGAACUGCAUUUGAAACUGUUGGUCUUGAGUAUCGGGGAGGG